ACUCCUACGGGAGGCAGCAGUAGGGAAUCUUCCGCAAUGGACGAAAGUCUGACGGAGCAACGCCGCGUGAGUGACGAAGGUUUUCGGAUCGUAAAACUCUGUUGUGAGGGAAGAACAAGUGCCACGUAACUACUGGCACCUUGACGGUACCUCACCAGAAAGCCACGGCUAACUACGUGCCAGCAGCCGCGGUAAUACGUAGGUGGCAAGCGUUGUCCGGAAUUAUUGGGCGUAAAGCGCGCGCAGGCGGUCCUUUAAGUCUGAUGUGAAAGCCCACGGCUCAACCGUGGAGGGUCAUUGGAAACUGGAGGACUUGAGUG
rnacentral:rRNA from 1 species